GCGGCCGGGGGAGCUGCCGGGGGUGCCGAUGGAUCCCGGCGCUGAGGCGGAGCCGCUGCUGCCCCCGCGGCGCUGGCGGGCGGCCCGCGGGCUGUGGCGCUCGGCCGAGCGCGGUGCUGGAGCUGAUAAUGACCUUUACAUAAACCAAGCUGUAGUAUUUAUUGAAGAUGCAAUACAGUAUCGAUCCAUAAAUCACCGCGUGGACUCCAAAUCCCUGUGGCUUUAUCGAUGGUACUAUUCAAGGACUUGCCAGUGGAUUUUGAGUUUGACCAUCACUAUAAUCCUGGCUUUGGCCUUCGUUGAAGAGCCUUCUUCGCUCACCAUCACGUCGGAUGUGCGGUACCGCCUUCCCGCUUGGAAUCCGCCCUGUGGCCUGACCGAGAGCCUGGAGCUGCUCUGCUUCCUGGUGUUUGGGGUUGAUGUGGCCGUGAAGAGUUACUUAAUUGGAUGGAAAGAAUUUUGGAAAAACAAAUGGCUAAUGGCUUAUAUACUGACAUUAAUUGUGUCCCUGACUGAUUGGAUUGUCUCGCUGAGUUUUUUCUGCACAGAGAGUUUGAGGAUAAGAAGGAUUCUUCGUCCGUUCUUUCUCCUUCAGAACUCCUCUAUGAUGAAGAAAACAUUAAAAAGUAUCAACAGCACAUUGCCUGAAAUGGCAAGUGUUGUUCUGCUGCUGGCUGUUCAUCUGUCCCUCUUCACCAUGUUUGCCAUGCUGCUGUUUGCUCGAACAAAGGAUAACCAGCAGGAUAAGGAGUGGGUGGUGUAUUUCCGCAAUUUGCCGGAUUCACUGACAUCCCUGCUGGUCCUGCUGACUACUGCAAACAAUCCUGAUGUGAUGAUUCCUGCAUAUUCUAAGAAUCGAGCAUAUUCCAUCUUCUUCAUCCUCUUCACUGUAUUAGGCAACCUGUUUCUGAUGAACUUGCUUACAGCAAUAAUAUACAACCAGUUUCGGGGAUACCUCCUGAAAUCAGUUCAGUCCUCCCUCUUCAGGAGGCGGCUGGGAAUCCGGGCUGCCUUCGAAGUGCUUUCCACCCUGAAAGAGACUCCUGCGAAUGCCCAACAGUCAUAUGUCAGCAGUGGGGCCUUACACCAAGUGCUGCAGAAAGCUGAGAUGGAUUCUCGCUGCAAACAAGCCAUCCUGAGGUCACUCAAAAUGUGCUCCUGUGACCAACUGUCAGCUGCCCAGUUCCAGAAGCUCUUUGAAGAACUAGACAAAGACGCCAUUAAGCAACAUCCUCCCAGUCCAGAGUACCAAUCCCAUUUUAUGCAGAAAUUGCAGUUUGCCUUUGGCCAUCCCUACUUUGGCUACUUGGGGAAUGUGGUAGCCCUUGCAAACAUUAUUUCUAUCUGUGUGGUUUUGGUGAUGGAUGCAGAUAAACAGCCUUCUGAAAGAGAUGACUUCUUCCUGGGGGCCAUCAACUGCUUCUUCAUCCUGUACUAUCUGCUGGAAAUGUUGCUGAAAAUCUUAGCAAUGGGCUUGAGAAGAUACUUGUCUUACCCAAGCAAUAGAUUUGAUGGGCUUCUGACUGUAAUUUUGCUGAUUUUGGAGAUUGCAACUUUUGCUGUGUAUGGAUUUCCUCAUCCUGGCUGGAGACCCGAGUUCAUGGGCUUGUUAUCCCUGUGGGAUAUGGUGCGGCUGGUGAACAUGCUGAUCGUGUUCCGCUUCCUGCGGAUCAUCCCCAACAUGAAGUUCAUGGCUUUGGUUGUCACUACAUUGCUGGAUCUGGUAAAAAACUUAAGAGCCUUUGCAGGAAUCCUGGUGGUGGUUUUCUAUGCAUUUGCUAUCACUGGCAUAAUGCUGUUUAAAGGUGCUGUUGUUCCCUUGGGAAACACCAGUUCUGCCAACACAACAUUUGCUAAUGGCACUUUGCAGUGUGGGACCUACGAGCAGCUGGAAUAUUGGCCCAACAACUUCGAUGACUUUGCCGCAGCAGUGGUGACCCUCUGGGAUGUGAUGGUGGUGAACAACUGGCAGGUCUUUUUGGAUGCGUUUUCAAGAUAUUCAAGUCCGUGGGCAAAGAUCUAUUUUGUAGCCUGGUGGUUGAUCUCCUCUGUCAUCUGGGUUAAUCUCUUCGUAGCUUUACUUCUGGAGAACUUUAUUCACAAGUGGGACCGUCGCUGUCAUCGAGAGUCUCUUUCAGAUGUUGAAUACCAGAGGACAGUGGAACUAAUGUUCAGGCCCGCGGCCAGGAGUGCGAGCCCAGUUUCCUGCUCCCGUAGAAGGCAUGGAAGAUGGCAGUAGGGCUGCAUGUCAUCUACAGCUCUGGGGUUUUUAUCUUCCUCUUCAGCAUCACUGAAAUACAGAGAACUUUGUGCCACAGAGGAAAACUCACAGGAGGCAAAUAUUUCCAACAGGAAUGUAUUGUUCUUUGAAGAAUCCUAUCUGAGUUCUUUUGUCUUACAGGGAAAUCCAGGGUCUGUGUCCUGGAAAUGGAGAAAUCUACCCCAGUUCUUCAAGUGCUUGCACGUGUGCUGAGCUUGAGCCCGUGAAUCAUCCAUUAAUGCCGGGCUCACACAGCCCUGUUUGGCGCAUCAAGGUAGAACAAGAAGCCAAGAUUAUACAUGCUCUUCUAUCACAGGACAGUUUCACUCUACAUGCCUAGAUUCUGCAAGAAGUACUUCAUCUGUUGGGGUUUUUUUCUAAUUUUAUUUUUACAAAAAUGCUUCAGAAAAUCUAGUUCUAUCUUCAAAUCUCUGUGUAGACAAGAAGCUCUCAGAAUCUCUAUUUCACAGGUGAGGAAAAACAGUCCGAUCAAGAUUAAAAUCCCAAUUCAAGGAAAAGCAGAAACUUAAGCACAUCUUUUAAUGUUCCUGUGAUUUUGGCAUAAACUAUUGUGAAUAGUUUCUCUGGGAUGCUGUCAGAGGUGAAAAUAGAAUAUACUUUGAGUUGCAGACAGUACCUCAGCGGACACAGGAAUUUUUCGCUUUAUACUUGCUAAAAAAUGUGAUGCAUGGGAUGGUCACACAGGAGAGAGAUUUAUUUUUCUAGUUGGUUUUUUAAUUCAGUGGUUCAUAUACUAUGGUAUUGAAGCUCAUUUUGGUGUGGAGAUCCAUGCAGCUCUGAACUUUUCCUUCAGAUUUGUAGAUUUUCACGGAAGCGUGUGGUAUCUUUUCUUUGGUCAGGUGCCUUGAAAAUAAACUGGGAGAAAUAAAUAGGCACAUUUCUACUGUGGCUGUGAUAAGCAUAUGUAUAUAUAUAAUGGUAUUGUGUGUCUUGCUCUACAUAACAUUUUUAGGUGUCUGUGCAAGUAGGAGAUUUAUGAAGUGUGACUCGUUUUUCCUUCUCCCCCCUGUUCCAGUGGAAGAGCUCAGACUGCGAUGAGAAAAACUAGUACACGUUAUUAAGAAUUCUGAUAAAGUAGGCUGAAUAAAUUUGUUUUCUUUGUGAGCCUUAAUCCUGUGUUGUAUUGGCUUCUUGGACAUGGCUAAUUUAUUUGGAAUUCCAUUCUGUUCCCGACAGCAUUCCUGAUUAGCAGUUUGAUCACCCGGAGCAAAGUUACAUACCAGCUUUCAACUCUUGUAAUCUAGCAGUGUAAUUUUUUCAAAUGGACUCUUUUCUUUCCUUCUUUGCCCCAGCUCCCCUUCUUUUUGUGUGCAAAGGGACUUUAAAAGUAAGCAGGAUAACCUGCUAGUAGAAUGAAAAACUUCUUCAAAACACAAUGUAGUUUGCUGAAUGCCCGGCUUUCAUUUUUAAAUAGAAAAAUGAGGUUUGGAGCUGUGUCAGUGCAGCAUGUGAAAUGUUUACCUUCCAUCACGCACAGAGGAUAACGGUUCUUUUCAAUGACUGCGUUUUAGGGGUGGUGUGAUAUAAUCUUCAAGUUCUUUCCAAGGUCUGCAGUUUGCCAAAGCACAUUUUGCUUGUGAUAAGUUUAAGAGAGUUUAAAUUGUUGUUUAGUAAAGCUUUUCACAUCAUGGACCUUGUAGGAAAAUGGCAGUUGUGUCAUUGUUUACUUCCAUCUAAACUGGCUUAUGCUGUCAAAACAAAGGAUGCACAGGAACCCCAAAUUUAAUUGUAAACCAGAGGCAGGUUUUGAUCUGGUUUUGGUAGAGCACAGGAGGAGCAUCAUCCGAGUGAAACCAGAGGAAAUGGAGCCUGCAGCAGCCCCCCAAAUCUGCCAAAGGCGUGGAGUUACAGAAAAGAGGAAAGGGAGUUUUCCGUCCUGUGACAUUUCUGGAGGUCCCAGUCUGGUUUGUGUACAGUGAGAAGGAAAAAAAGGUUUUUAAGUCAAGAGAGAUGUGGGAAUAGCCCAGAGAUAGGUGACCACAGCACUUGUCAAAAGACUCAAACUGUGGUUUUAUGCAUGAGUGCCUUGGCUGUAUAAUGUUUGGAGAGUGUCUGUUUUGUACUGAUCUUGAAUUUAAUGGAUCUGAAAAGCAGCUCUUGACAAAUAUUUUGUCAAAACUGAAGCACGUUUGGCCAGACUUCUGUGUUUGAAAAACUGGCAUUUCGGUUGAAACACUGUUUUGUCCAAAAUAAUACUAAUCAAAUUCUCUCCUGAAUUUAUGUGAACUACUCAGCUAUUCUGAACUUUGUAACAUGUAUCCUAAAUAUUUGUUCUAGGCUUUUUCCUUUGAGUUACUAAAUAUGUUUGUAUUUUUAUGUUUGUUCACAAUUAGGUGGACAUUUUGGAUAUUAUAAAACUUUUAAUUGAUUGAUAUGACUAAGUAUCAAUGGCAUAUGUGUGAUCUAUUCUGCUACUACCAGGUCAUGUUCUAAUCACAUUCCUAGGAAGAAAUUCCUGUAAAUGAAAGGGAACCAAAAUAUCUACUCCUAAGCAUUGCCACAUCCAGCAGCAUAUGGAGGUGAUCAUGGAAUGACAGCUCCAUAACUGCAGAGGUCUCAUCAAGUCUGUAUUUUGAAAUACAGAUGUCUUCAGGUAAUGACUUUUAAGACUGAUUUAUAAGUUUUUGCUUCAUUUUCUCCUAACCCUUUCCCCUCAUAUUCAUUAUGGGGUUUUUUUCCCUGCAAUCUGUGCUCUUUCUUUUGCGAUCGAAUUUCAGUUUUGACUGUGAGGCCUUUGAGGAUGAGCUGGAGUUUUACAAAUACUUCUGGUUUUAUGGACACUGAAAUUAGUCUUGAGGGAAGAAAUACGUAAUAAAUGUAGUAACUUAUUUCUGUCCUUGUUUUUCUUGAUCAUGGAAAUGGGCAUGUUGAACUAACUGUGGUGGGAUUCUGCUGGGGAUUUUCCAGUAGAAAACCAGUGGGGCAGGUGUUGGCUUUGCUUUGGCUCAAUGCAACACGGAAUGAUCUUGAUAUGUGCGUGUUAUCACAACUUAUUUGAAGCAGGAGUUGGCUUUGAAUGUCAGGUUUUGUCCUCUAAAGCUGUGAAGACCUUGAUCUGGCUCUUUUGAACUGGCAUUUUGUUUCCAGUGUGGUGUGGAAUGCUUGUUCAGGAGAUUUCACAUAUGCAAACUGGAGCAAGGUGCCUUUUUGACUCUGAUAACUGUAGAAGGCACAUGAUUCUGAGAGAUAAGUGCUGGUCUUGAAUUUUUCUAUUUCUCUUAACAAAAGAGCUGGGAACUUCUUGUUAGCCAUGCCAACUACUGCAACUCUUUGCUGUUUCCAUUUGUAACAUAUCCUGAGUUUUGAAUGCGUGGCAAAAUGCAGUAAGUCACAUAUUCUAUUUUUUAAUUUUAAUUUAUUAAUGUUUCGGGAUAUAUUUCAAACUGAUGAGAACAGGGGGUGUUUUAUGAUUGAUUAUUGUUGUAUUCUCUGCUUUGUCACGUGUAACUUCACUUGAUAUUUUGAAAUUUUAGGAAUGUGGUGAUAUUUUAGGAGAUGGACUGCUUUGUAGGGGAACUGGAAAAUUAGAUGUGAAACCUGUUGCCUUACAUUUUAAAGUCAACAAAACUGCAUAAUACAUAAUUAUUUUUGCCAAACUACCCUUCAAUGGGCACUGAUUACCAGGAUAAUUAUGUACUAAUUUAAAGGCAAAAUAUGGAAUUUUAAACAUAGUUCCAAAUUAGAGGAUUUUUUAAUAAAUAGUUGUAACAGAACAGGGUAAUAAUGUUGGUUAUGUGAUGAAAACAUAUGUUAGUAAUAAAAUAUCACCCAUCAGGAAUACUGUUCUAUCAUGCCAUUGCUCUCUAGGGAGAUGACUAGUUGAGAAGUGAUUUUAACAAAAUGAACUCUGAAUAGAGAGGAUGCUUUUAUGGGUGAUACCACACACAUUCUUCAAAAAGGCAAAUCACUAAAAAAAUGGUGCCAGGAACAUCUGUUGUGUGAAAAAGUAAAAUUUUGGAAAAUCCAAAUAGUGAUUAUCAAUAUAUAGGCUUUGCAUAGUCCUUUUCCUCACUCAUUCCCAAAAGGCUCUACAAAGAAAGGAAGAACAGCCAUCCGUGUUAAACCGCGUUUUCCCAAACCCAGCCGUGCCAGUUUUCAUCUGGCGCGUAGAUUCGUCUUGCUUGUGCUGUGCCACGGAUUUUCUGUGGGAGGAAAUCUGCCCUAAGAAGUGAAAUCCAAGCAGGAAAGCGCUGUCCUUCCAUGCCCAGCAGCAUUCCUCCGUGUGAACAAACGCAGUCCCGCCGGGGAGUGCCAAGCCGACAGCCGUGGCAUGCGGAGCUGCCAUUCCCCGGCUUUGUGUGAGCCUGUCCCCAGCCUGUCCCGGUGCCAGGCGCCAGGGAUGUGCGCUUUCUGUUCCGGCUUUGACACCUCUCAGGGAACACAGGGCUGAGAAGCACUUGUGAGCCCCGGGGAGGAGGCACCUGUUCACUUGGCACCGGGAUGAACCCCCCAGUUCAUUCCUCGCGUGCCCUUAAGUAGCCGCCGGGCUUCUGUCUGCGGAUGGAUUGGGCUGGAGCUGGUGGCCAGGGCAUGGGAUGUGCUGGAUUACGUGACAGCCCCGCUAGCUCACGUGGGAAUUGGUUAAAAUCCUGCUGGUGGUUUCCAGCAAUCCAGCAGGAUUGCACCGGGGGGAAGGAAGAUGGUAGUCACCAAAGAUGAACUUUCAGGUGGACCCAGUGACAUCCAUCCAGGUGGACAGAUAUUGCUUUUCUGGGAAAAGGCAGAUGUCAUUGCCUCAACCAAUACAUUUGCUAUUUUAUGUUAUUAGCUAAUUAUGUAUUACUACUAUAAUUAUUAUGUUACUGGCUAAUGUUAUUAGCUGUUAUUUUACAGCUACGAAGUGAGCCAGCUGCCCAAGUGAGUAUGUAAUGUAGAGCCCCUGGCUGGAGCUGGCAGUGGUUGUGUUGUAGCAGGUAGAGCCACUGAACAGUUUGUCAAACUGUUUUUCCUGCUGAAAUCCCCUUCAGCUCUACUUGUCCAGGUCCAGGCAAGGAAUUGCUUAAACAUCUAUAAAAGUUCCUUGUUUUCUUCUUGAACUGGAUCCUGGAGUUGCACUAAUUCUGACGAGGCCUUGGCAUCAACAAGGACCCCAAGGCGGAAAGUGCGGUUUCUGGGGAAAGGAGCUUGCUGGUGGAGUAAGUUUGAAAAGAUCGUAGCAGUUCCAGUAAUUACUCAUUUCAUCAACCCAUCUAUAUUUAAAGGGGAAAAUAAAAAAAAAAACCACGCUCCUCCAGUGUUGUUUCCUGCAAAGACCAUUCUUAAGAGCUCGUUGGACAGCGCAGGACUCUUGAAGUGAUAGCUAAUUGGUGAAAGAAAGGCCCUGAUUGUCUUGAGGGAGCUGGAAAGUGCUGCGUGUGCUGCUGAAAGGGACUAGGGAGAAGGUGCCUGGUUUCGCUGAGCAGCUGCUGUUGGAGAUGUUUGGAGAUUACAUCAGCAUUGGAAAAAAGGGGCAAAAAAAAAAAAAAGUCCAACUUCACAGAGACGGAGUUUAUGGAGGUUUUUUUUUUUCCCCCCCCUUCCAAAGGUCUUCUGACAAUACUGUCAUUGUCAAUAUAAGAGUUGUUAAUUCUUUAUGAAUAGCACAUGGGGCCUCUUGACUAAAUAGUACGUUACAUGUCCCAAAUCUGUCAGCUGGACUCUUCUCUCACAUGCUAGUGAGAUCACUUUGAUUGGAAUGUCAGAGGAAUUGCUGGGCUGGCCAUGCAGAACUGAAUACUGCAUUAUAUAAUUAGAUCUCCCAGAGUAUUUUUUUUCACAUUACCUCAUUAUUCUAGCUUAAAUAUGGAAUCAGCCCUUUUGAUGAUUUUGCUGGUUGUAAUUAUAUUAAUACGAUUCAUUUUGUGGUCCUGCCUUAGUGCUUAUAUAGAUUAUAAACUGUCCCGAAGGUUUCCUGACACAAGGAAAGAGGACUGAGAGACUUCAAAAGGCUUCUUCAGAUUUGAAUUGACAAUGGGGAGAGCUGGAUAAGGUAAAUGGAGCUAGAACAGCUCUUACCUUGGGAUCUGAUGAGAGAGAAAUGACGUGUCGAGAUUGCAACUGAGUGAAGAUUCUUCAGAAAGCCACGUGCUGACAGAGGGGAAGGAGUGACAACUGACUGAGUCAAAUGACUUCCUCUCCAGCUUGGGCAUGGAUUUACUGUUGGGAACAGACUUGUGGACUUUUGCCAAUUAAAUGAUUUGGACGAGCUGGGGGGAAUCCUAUUGCUGGGCAGUCCAAGAGUGCCAGUGGCCCAACCUUGAUACAUGAGAUGUGGUGUGUGGUGCUUGCUCUGCACGUUCAGGUGUCAGCUGACGUGGAGUGAGUUCUGACACCAAAGCCCUGCAAGGUACCUUCACUUCCAGCCUUAAAUAAGGACCUUACUAGGACAUGGAAGGAUUUGACUGCAUGCCCAAGGCCAUAGUGACUUAGGAUUUUUUGGUUAACUUACCUUGCAAAAGGAAAUAAACUGUUCCAAGCAAACUGUCUCCUUUUAGAUGGGUGUUAUAUUAAGCCAAACAUCCUAUAUCUUACUACAUACCCAACUCAAUUUGACAUCUGCUUUCAAGAACUGAAUAUUCUACAGUAAAAAUAGAAAGACUGUAUUGCUUUGCCUGAGGCCCAGUCACCUUUCUUUUUUAAACAAAAAAAAAUAAAAAGUUCUUUUUUGUUUGAUAAAUUUCCAUGUCAUGUAAAAGUGAAGGUUGCCACUUUGUGUACUUAAUUCUGUAUCUCUUGGUAGCUCACAUGAUGAUGUCAGAGUUCAGCUACAGUAUUCCCAUCCAAAUUUUCUGGCCCAUUCAUGACUCUUACCUUCCUCAUCAUUAAUAACUGUUAAUCAGCCCUUAUCAUUUUGUGUUUUGAAGCCUCCUAAAACUCAGACAUGAGAACUGGGCUGUGCUUAUGCAGCAGAACAGGGUAAAUGUCAGGUCAAUUGAUUUCAGCCUCAGAUUUUAUUUAUGGUGGAUGACCAAUGUACUAAACAGCCUGCAAUGCCUGAAAUGCAUGUCAUUGACUUGAAAUCCAGCCAGAUGACAAUAAAUUAAAUGUAGAUGGAACUAA